UUAAAGAUUUGUUAUUUUUCUGACUGGUGGAUGAUAUCCGAUUUUCUAUAAAUUUAUGUGUUUGUAUCUAGGAGAAGCAAGAAAUCUGUCUAUACUAGUGUUAUGGCAUCCCAAUUGUUGUCGUUCUUUUCCUUUGCAUCACAUCAAGGAAGGAUUUUUUUGGAGACUAUUGAACAUACAUCAGCGGAUUAUUCAGAUGAGAAUAAGAUCGAAAAAGCAAUAUAUCAUCGUGGAAGGCUGAAUAACAUGAUAUGCUUGAUUGAGAUAGUGGUUUUGAAGUAGCAGUCUCUUUUGGGUUACAAUGUUGAGGGUGCCUGCAAAUCGAUUUUUAUGAGUUCUUCAAGAAGUGUUAUUCUGAUAUUGCUGACCCGGAGUAAGCUGCCAAGUAUAAUCCUUACUGGUUCAACAUCAGCUGAAGUUAUCGCAGAUAUUUCCCUUUGAUUUAUGAAGGCAGUAAAGGUAGGGUGCCUACCCGACCUGGUUUUUCUAGAGGAUUCUCUGAUGCGCUCGCCAAUUUUAUCAAGUUUGACGGAAUUGCCAAAAAAAAAAAGUUAAACAGAAUUGCCGGAAAGAUAAGGAGUUAAAGGAUCCUUACAGAGCUUCUGCUGGAAUCAAGCACAAAUAUACCAGUGUUUACAAGGAUUUCUGCACAAAGCCUCUUGAUAAUGUAAGGUGUCAAUGCUGAGUACUAUCCUGAAACUUUAACUAUAGAGUUGUGCUUUGUGCUAAGGUUGUGUCACUUUCAGGGGUUCCUAGAGCACGGAAUACCGAGAGUCCAGAAACGGCUGUCUUACUAAUGCGCGAGGUGAGAUUUCCCGAUAAUGUGUUAUUGUGCUAUGUAUAACAUGUUU